rnacentral:lncRNA from 1 species
GAGGAAGCAGGACGCGGAGAGCGGUUAUGUAAGAGCAUCCCCCGCGCUCCGCCGCCCUGAGACGGUAGCGCCGGGAAGGUGGCGGGGCGACAAGUCCGGAGCCCCUUCGAGCAGCAGCGCUUGUGUUGAACCAUCUUCCUUGUCCUGGGCGCUUUCCUCCAAAGGCAGGGAAGAGAGAAGGUUUCAGCACGGCUGCAUCCGUGAACACUUGAGGAGGUGAUCUCCCAAACCUGCUAAGGAUGGGCAGAGGAUUAAGGCACGUAGGGACCUCUAUCUGGCCAUCACAGACCCCCUCCUCUAGGGCUGCUGCCUGGGGCCGCCGCUGUGGCUGGCCCAGGUUCACCCACAGCUCUUUGCCCUUCUCUAGCAGGCUGGCUCUUUCUUUCCACUGACAGACCCCGAAGGGCUUCCUCCCCAGUAAGACUGCGAGGGCCAGCUCCUCUGUCUCCUCCCGUCCUCCUAGACAGGGAACUGGUAAAGGAGACUCCAGAGGGAAUGUGACAGCCACAAUGCCCUCCACUCUGCAAAGGCGAAGACAGAGCCCUCAGGCACAGACGCGGCACCUGACUCUGUGGCACCACCGCAGGCAUCUCCUUCCUGCCUCCGCACACCCCACGUGCCCACCCAGCCGCUGCUUACACCAGGCUACCAGGAAAAUGAAGCCAGGAAACAGAAGAUAGAAAGAAGAUAGAAGAUAGAAAUACCAUGUAAUCCUUCCGCGCUGUUGAUGUUAACCGCCCAAUUAAGAUCUACUAAGCCCAUUUGGGAAGCUGGCCAGGUACUGGGAACCAAAGAGUUAAUGUCUUUGGAAUUACUGGGGCUCUCAAAGAGGAAAGAGCUUUUCCAAGCCACUGUGCUUGGCAAGCCUGAACUCUAGGACAAAGUUCCCUUAAGAAAGCUUUCAUCUCCAUCUCCCUCCCACUCUCAUACUGGAACAUGAAGGCAAAGUGCAUGCAUGACCUGAGGCCUGGCUCUCAGCUUUCUUCAAGAGCAACUGGGGACUGGGGCCCACAUAUGUUACUACUGGGAUGAUUGCACAGGUGCAUCAAGCUGGGACAGAUGCCCCCUCUCCCAAGGGGGAGAGCACCCCGCCUCAGAACUGCAGCAAAUGACAUCUAUCAGACCACUGAUCCAGCCAUGGUGCCAUCCAGAGAUGAGGCAAUGCCCACAGGGCCAGAGUCCAAAGAAGCCAACUAGGUACUCUUUAACAGACAACCCUGAGCAGAAAGGUAGAAAUCAAAACCAAAUGAGGCAAGUGGAAAUUCAAAGCGCUGAUCAUUGGUGGAAGAAUACAGG